UAUAUAUAUAUAUAUGUUUAUGCGCAUAUAUAUAUAUAUAUAUAUAUAUAUAUAUAUAUAUAUAUAUCUGAUAAAGGCAGCAUAAACUUAUUUAACAAGCAAAUUGCAACAACUAAAAACAUUUCUGUAGCAAUUUAAGUGGCAGCAAAAAA